rnacentral:lncRNA from 1 species
ACUUUUCUUUUCCAGGACUUAGGUUGGAAGCACAGUGUUUGUUUACUGCAUUGCCCUUGGGUUUGCCUCUGGCUUGUGCUUCCUGGGGGAAAGGCAGUGGGACUGCUGCUGGUUCCUAAAACAUUGACAGUCUGUCAUGGCCUUCUGGUAGUGAAACCAUUUUGCUAACAGCAGCUUCAGGCUCUUCUCCACACUAUUUCCCUUAUCAGCACAUCGCUUGGUGCGUUCGCAGUGUCUCGGUGCAGCCGGAUUAUUAUAAGCCUUUAUUUGACUCCUGCAAACCAAGGUCUUA